CUUUGGAGCAUUUUUUAUAACAUCAUAAGGAUGUCAGUGUUUCUCUUUGCUGCACAGGUAUACUGUGCUUAGACGAUAGGAAAUUUUUGGCCUGAAAAUGUACAUGUAAAUCAUAUUUCAUCAAAAUCAAAUUACAUCCAAAAUACAAUUGAGGCGUUCACUAUUUCUGGGGUCCCUGUGGAAAAUCAUACAAGAGGCAAUACUGCAUAUAGGAAAGAAUGGAGGGUGGGAGCCAGAAAAUCAAACUGAAGCCCCAGUUCAAUCUCUUCCUACCUGUGUGACUUUUGGUAAGUCUUUUAGCCUCUGCCCAACAGUUUUCACAUCUGUAAAAUGAAGAUGCCAUGAGGUUGGUUUUUUUUUUUAACCUACUUUAUGGAUUUUGUGAGGACCCAGUGAAAUGUUUUAGAGAAGGAUAAAGAAAGGCUAAAUCCAUAUCCUCUAGGAUUUCAAACCCUCUUCAUAAAAAUCCACUUACAAGAAUUGGAAACAACACAGGGGGGAAAGCAAAGGGUAUGAAAAUGAAGCCAUUUUAAGCAACAAGCGUAUUGCCACACAUAGCCAGACUCCAUACAUUAUAUUUCUUGAAUGAAUAAAAAGAAGGUAUAGCUGAUUCUGCCACCAUUUACUAUUCUGUGCCUUGGGAAAUCUCAAACAGCCUUACACUUGGGUGGCACUCACUUAUUCUUACAAUAAAGAUCACCAGCAACCUAAUAAAAAAUAACUCAUUCUUAGAGUGCCACAGUUGCACAAAUCACUUGCAUGCCUUAAGUGAUUCAUUUGAGAAGUCUUUUCUGUCACAAGAUAUGUUUCUCAGAAUGUGAUUCUCAAGACACCAGAGUCAGAAUUACCUAGAUUCAUGUAGCAAAUGUAGAAUUCUAGAUCAAGCCCACAUUUGACAAAUUAGAAUCUCUGGGGAUGUGUCUGGAUAAUUUGCAUUUUCACACACACACACACACACACACACACACACACACACAGAUACACACUAACCCACUCCUACACUGUAAUUCCAAAGUUUGACAGCAAUUUUCAGGUUUCCAAGAAUAAGAAAAACUAUGACAUCUUUGGAAGAACCUGGCUCAGUAAAAGUUCCUUUAAUCUCCUCGGCCUUUUUUUUUUUUUUUUUGUCUUUGCUAAAUGUAAUAAACACUUCUAGUAAGUCCUGGAAAUUAAUCAUGCCAUAAAAAGUUAAUUAAAACUAACUUAAACCUAUAAAAAGAAUCAGUCCCUGAAAUUUACACAUGUACACUGUACAUUUAUUAUGUAAUUUACACAUGUACACUGUGAAGGGAAAGCAAAGGGUAUGAAAAUGAAGCCAUUUUAAGCAACAAGCGUAUUGCCAC
rnacentral:lncRNA from 1 species